rnacentral:rRNA from 1 species
GAUGAACGCUGGCGGCGUGCCUAAUACAUGCAAGUCGAGCGAACAGAUAAGGAGCUUGCUCCUUUGACGUUAGCGGCGGACGGGUGAGUAACACGUGGGUAACCUACCUAUAAGACUGGAAUAACUCCGGGAAACCGGGGCUAAUGCCGGAUAACAUUUAGAACCGCAUGGUUCUAAAGUGAAAGAUGGUUUUGCUAUCACUUAUAGAUGGACCCGCGCCGUAUUAGCUAGUUGGUAAGGUAACGGCUUACCAAGGCAACGAUACGUAGCCGACCUGAGAGGGUGAUCGGCCACACUGGAACUGAGACACGGUCCAGACUCCUACGGGAGGCAGCAGUAGGGAAUCUUCCGCAAUGGGCGAAAGCCUGACGGAGCAACGCCGCGUGAGUGAUGAAGGUCUUCGGAUCGUAAAACUCUGUUAUUAGGGAAGAACAAAUGUGUAAGUAACUGUGCACGUCUUGACGGUACCUAAUCAGAAAGCCACGGCUAACUACGUG